rnacentral:rRNA from 1 species
CCUACGGGUGGCAGCAGUGGGGAAUAUUGGGCAAUGGGCGCAAGCCUGACCCAGCAACGCCGCGUGAAGGAAGAAGGCUUUCGGGUUGUAAACUUCUUUUAAGGGGGAAGAGCAGAAGACGGUACCCCUUGAAUAAGCCACGGCUAACUACGUGCCAGCAGCCGCGGUAAUACGUAGGUGGCAAGCGUUGUCCGGAUUUACUGGGUGUAAAGGGCGUGCAGCCGGAGAGACAAGUCAGAUGUGAAAUCCACGGGCUCAACCCGUGAACUGCAUUUGAAACUGUUUCCCUUGAGUGUCGGAGGGGUAAAUGGAAUUUCGUGGGUAGCGGUGAAAUGCGGAGAUAUAAGGAAGAAAACCAGUGGAGAAGGCGGAUUACUGGACGGUAACUGACGGUGAGGCGCGAAAGCGUGGGGAGCAAACAGGAUUAGAUACCCGAGUAGUC